rnacentral:lncRNA from 1 species
ACCUCAUGGCUUAGCACUGCUCACAGGGGCCAAUCGGUGGUGGCGGCGGGGGGCCACCUGCGGAUCCCCCCGAACGUGUGAUGAUGCCCCUCACGGCCUUUGGCUGAGUGGGCGGGGAUUCCGCGGCCUUGCUGCCAAGACGCACGAUCUGCCUCCACUCUGGAGAACACUGGACACAAGAAGGGCACGCAGGUCCCAUCGUGGCGCCGCAGAAACGAACCCGACUAGGACCCGUGAGGUUGUGGGUUGGAUCCCUGGCCUUGCUCAUUGGGUUAAGGAUCCAUGUGGCUGUGAGCUGUGGUGCAGGUUGCAGACAUGGCUCAGAUCCCGCAUUGCUGUGGCUCUGGCGUAGGCCGGUGGCUACAGCUCCGAUUCAGCCCCUAGCCUGGGAACCUCCAUAUGCUGUAGAUGCAGCCCUAAAAAUAAAUUAGUUAAAAUAAAAGCAAAAAACCCCGAGGGCACAAUUUUUAUCUGCAGAAGAGCUGACCUACAUGCCUCACAGAAGCUGAGGUCAGGAGGACACGGUCGGGCUGCAGGGCUGCUGUGGUCAAGGAGGCGAAGAGUGUCCUGUGUCAGAGAGAAGAGUCGCCACCAAGGCCAGUCUGGGGGCCGCUCACGCAAUGAGAGUUCUGCUGUGGGUCCGGCAGUGACGGGCUGCCGACGGUUUCUGGACCUCGUGAGCUGGGCUUGCACAGGAAGCUUGUCCUCAAGAGGUGGCCUGGGGGACUCUGGCAGCUCAGCCGCGGCCGCGGACCAGGGCCUGGCGGAGCGCUGGGUGCUCUUCCUGCAGUUGCUCCCUAAGGUUGAAAUCGCUGCAGGAUAAGAAGUUAGAAGCAAAGGAGACAUACAGAGGUGACAGCAAUGGAACAGUGAGAGCUGUGGAGCUAAGACCUCAAGGCGCCUGGGGGACGGGCACGGGCCGCGCGUCCUUGAGCUGGGAGAGGACAGCGUGCACAGGGAGGCCUUCAAAAAUUAGGGAAAGUGUGUUUUCAGACAGAACUGCGUUUGCCGCCAGCAAGUCACAGCUGGAAGGUAUUCCAAGAAGUGACUUCAGGCGCGGGGAGGUGGUUCCAGGCAGGUGUUCUCGGGUGUGCCUGAGGCGGGACGCGUGCCAGGAGGCCCCCGCACUGCGUGGCCAGGCGGCCGGGCCCAGCGGGAUCAGUGAGCCCGGCCAGACACAGCGUCCACCCGAGAGUGGAGCACGCCUGCCCAAGCAGAGGAGGGCCCGGCCCGCCNNNNNNNNNNNNNNNNNNNNNNNNNNNNNNNGCAGGCGGAGCCAGAGGCGACGGGGAGGGUGUCGGGGCGGAGAUGCGGGGGCCGGCCCGGGGUGGCCCCUGUGCUCCCCGGCAGUGGCCAGAGACCACCUCCCCCUCGGCCUGCCUGGUUCGGGCCCCGCUCCGCGCUUCUCUCACGAGGGGUUUCCCAGGCUGGCGGCCUUGGCCGCACCGAGCGUGAAGGAGAUAAAGGCAGCCCUCAGCUGUGCUGCGGGUUCAGGCCCAGACCGGCUCGGUGGAGCCCGUGUGGCGAGCCCGUGUGUCACGGGUUUUUUGGGUUCCCAGCACGUGCGGACACGACGUUUACGCUAGAUGCUUAGCGGGGUGGUGGCCUGAUGUCUAAACCACGUACGUGCCUUCGCUUACAAAGGCUUUGUUGCUGGUGCUCCGGCUGUGGUUCCGCCGGUUAAGAAUCUGACUGCAGCAUCUCAGGUCCCUGUAGACGUGAGGGGUUCCACCCCUGUCCCAGCGCAGUGGGUUAAAGGAUCCCGCGUAGGUUGCAGCUGUGGCUCAGAUUCAGUCCCUGGGCCAGGAACUUCAUAUGCUGCGGGUGCGACCACUGAAAAAAAUGCUGACGCCCUCUGAGACUUGGGCGGCAUGGUGCUAACCUCAAGGAUUCUGGAUCCCAGGCCACCCUAACAAACAUUUUGACAACAAAAAAGUCGGAAAUGCUGCGAGAGUCACCAGAAGACGCAGGGAGCAAAGGCUGUUGGAAAUGGCACCGAGAGAUCUGCCCAAGACGAGGUUGUCACGAAUCUGCUGUUUGUACAACACGCACCAGCUGUGGAGCUUGGCAGUUGGUGUGGCCUGUCUGCGAGCUCUGGUGCUUUUGCCCCAGUGGCAGGACGAUCCCCGCUCGGCCCGACAUGGACUGCCGGGCGCCCGAGAGCUGGAGCCUUUGUUCCUGCCUCUGCGGAGGCUGUGACUCCACCCCCAGGCUGCUCGUUUCCCAAGUAAACGCAGUCUGAUUGGGGGUCCUCAGUUCCCGUAAUCGCCCACCUAACGAGGUGGGAGAGGUACCGCCCCUUCUCCCGCCACCCGAGCUCCGCUGGUGGGUGAAACCAGCGGACCCGCGCCCAGAGAACAGGCCCUGACUUCGAGGUGGGCCUGGCUCCCUUGCUGUGAAGAGGGUGUCCCUGGGGACCCCGCGCGGGUCUCCAGUCAAUGCCAUGAUGGAUGUACGAGUGAACUGUGUUCCCGGGAGGUCUGCUGGGUGCCUGUCUGGGUGCUGCGGCCCCAGGCUGGGGUGAGAGCCGCCCCAGAAGAUCAUGGACUCGGGCGAGCUGGACUUCUACCAGCACGACAGGGUUUGCUCCAACACCUGCCGCAGCACCAAGAUCGACCUCUCGGGGGCCCGCGCGGCCCUGGGCAGCCCCACGCCGGNNNNNNNNNNNNNNNNNNNNNNNNNNNNNNNNNNNNNNNNNNNNNNNNNNNNNNNNNNNNNNNCCCGGGGGCCCGGGGGCCAGUGGCUACCUCCUUCCUCGCUGAGGAGGUCCAGCUGCAUGCCGCUCUCUUCAGGUCAUUUUUAUCACAAGACACAGCGCUGCGUUUGUGGAGACGCGUGUAAAGAGUGAGGAAGCGUCCAGCGCCCACCCCCAGCCUCGGGCCCUGUGGCACUCGGUCCUGGCCCCGGCACGUGUCCCCUGCUGCUGGGGCUCUGCUGACGAGUUUAUGGCGUCUUCUCUGUCGGCGUCUGUGGCUCUCGAUGGCAGAAGCACUGAACACACCGGGAUUCUCUCUGGGUUUUGAGUGUGGAGAUUGCUUUUAAAACGAAACCUAGGAGUUCCCGUCGUGGCGCAGUGGUUGACGAAUCCGACUAGGAACCAUAAGGUUGCGGGUUCGAUCCCUGCCCUUGCUCAGUGGGUUAACGAUCCGGCAUUGCUGUGAGCUGUGGUGUAGGUUGCAGACGCAGCUCGGAUCCCGUGUUGCUGUGGCUCUGGUGUAGGCCAGUGGCUACGGCUCCAAUUAGACUCCUAGCCUGGGAACCUCCAUAUGCCGUGAGAGUGGCCAAAAAAAUAGCAAAAAAAGACAAAAAAAAAAAAA